UAGUGGAAUUUUGAAUGCUUGGAUUUCAGGAUUUUGAAAUGUUAAUGUAUUGCAACGUUAGGAUAUUGGGCUGUUUGAACGUUAGAAUGGAUAAAGUGUAUGAAUAUUUGGGAAUUGGAAUGUUAGGAUGUUGAAUAAAGUGUAAGAAUGCUCUGGUAUUAGAAUUUUGGGACGUUAUAUUGAGGUCUCAGAGUUGGAAUUGUUGGGAUAUCACAAUGAUGCGAUGUCAGGAUGUUUGAAUGUUAGUAUAGGACAAUGCUGGAAUGUUAGAAUAGUGUUAGUGUGUCCAUAGUGUUGGAUGCUGUAAUUAUGAAAUGGUUGAAUUUUAGAUUCUCAUAAAUCUUGUAUGUUAGCAUAUUGCAACAUUUAGUUAUUGGGACGUUGGCAUGUUGAAUGUCAGAAUUCAAGAAGGUUUUAUAUUAUUUAGUUAUCUUUUCACUGUCUCUCCCUUUUGUUUUUUUUGUCAAUUCCCUUUAAACCUUUGUCCUGUCUGACUGAAUUUUCAAUAAAAAUCCUUCAGAAUACGAAGAACCACAGUGGCAUCUUAAAAAUUCCAGUGUGGUACAGUAAAACUGUUCCGGCAUAAAAGUGAUACAGAUCCUCCUUUCUGCUUGAAUAGGACAAAAGAAAAAAAGAAAAAAGGAAUUCAAGAAGGUUGGGAAUGUUGGGGUCUCAGAGUAUUGGGAUGACUAACUUAGUUGGAUGUUACAAUGUUGACUUCUGGAAUGCCAUAAUGCUGAAACGUUAGCAUUUUUAUAUGGGAUAUUAGCAUGUUUUUUGUUGGAAUUCUGUACAGUUAGGAAUUUUGGAAUGAUGAUUAGAAAUCUUGUAAUGUUGGGAUCUGAGCGUAUUGGAAUGAGUGGCUCUAGUGGCCAUCUCACAAUGUUGAAUGCUAGAAUCUCAGGAUGUUUGGAAUUUUGGGAUAUAAGGAUGUUGUAAUUCUAGAACGUUAAUGUGUGGGAAUGUGGUUUCAGAGCAUUGGGAUGGUUGGUAUAUGGAAAUGUUUGCAAUUUGCAUGUUACGAUAUUGGGGGUGUUGGUGUAAAUGAUUUGGUGUCUUGAAUGUUGAGUUAUUAGUCGUUUGGAAUGUUGGGGUCUCAGGUUAUUGAAUUGAUCUGAGAUUUGUAAUGUAAAGGAUGGAAUAUUGGAAGGUUCUGAAUAUUGAAGUUUCAGAGCGUUGCCACGAGUGGGACUUUAGAAUUAUGCGGUGCCAGAAUGCUUGAAGUAUGGAUUUAAAAGUUGGAGAAAGUUUCAAAUGUUUGGGUAUCCGACUAUUGUGAAGGUGCACCAUAAUGCUACAGUAUUGUAAUGUUGGUUAGCGAGCCGGAGCGAGAUGUGAGCCUCUUAGUAGUUCUUUGACACACAAUAAUUCCACUAACAAGACCACAAAGGUUGGGUCGGACUUGACAUUCCAUGUUGAGGUUAGCGGGACAAGGUGGUGCGCCCGUGACGUUCCCCGUCAUGCCUUUUCGAGUCGAGUCAAGCCGUUCGUCCCGCGGCGUCGCUUCGGCUCGUUUGUUUGUUUGUUUGUUUGCUAAUUAUCCACUUUUUUGACACCUGUGCCGACACGUCGGACACGCCACUGCACACCGCCACAUGCCCGACACGCACACACAUACGCAGCCCCUGGUGUACAAUUACUCCUUUUACUAUACACCUAACACUCACUGUGUGAAGAGUAUCAAACACAACCACAAACGCACACAUCUUGGAAUAUUCGCAAAGCAUGACUCCGCCCUGCGCCAUGCAGAGUUCACUGUCGAGCCUGCAGAGGUGGCAAAAGUACUCCCACUCUGUACUUAAGUAAAAGUACAGAUGCUUGAGUAAAAAAAGAGGUUGUACAGUGGUACAUUGGUGUGGUACAGUGGUAUAUACUGUAUACAUACAUCUAUAUACAAACGCAAAAACGUAUUGGCCCCCUUCUCAGUUUUUUUUUUCUUUUGUGUAGUUUACCUAUGGUUUACCCUUUAAUGUUUAAGAUCAUCAAACAAAUAUAAAUACUAGACAAAGAUAACUCAUGUAAACAUAAAUCCUGAUUUUAUUUAUUAAGGGAAAAAAAUAUUCAAUGCUACCUGCCCCUUUGUGAAACGUAAUUGUCCCCCACACCUAAUAACUGGCUGGGUCACCCUCAGUAGUAACAAGUGAACUCAAGCAUUUUCUUCAACUGGCAAUGGUUUUCGAACAUGAACGGCCUUAUUGAGGUCAUGCCACUGCAUUUCAAUUGUAUUCAACUUUGAAUUUGAUUGGGCCACUUUUUUUUAAGUUAUUCAUAAAUUGACUUGCUGGUGAGUUUUAGAUCAUUUUCCAGCUACAGACCCUAAGUACGCUUCAGCUCGAAGUCAUAAACAUGGCUGAACAUUCUCCUUCAGGAUUUUCUGGCAAAGAGCAGAAUUCAUGGCUCCAUCAAUCACAAUAAGCCAUCCAGGUCCAGAAGGUGCAAAGCAGCCCCAGACUAUCACACAAUCACCAUGUUUGACUGUUCGUAUUAUGUUUUUUUUUUCUCAGCUGGAGUGUUACAUUUACGCCAGAUGCAACAAGACACAAAGCCUCCAAAAUGUUGAAUUUUCGUCUUGGGUUCCUUUGUGACCUCCUGGAUGAGUUGUCACUGUGCUCUCGGGGUAAUUGUUUGUAUGUUUGUAUGUUUUUCGGAUGUUGGAAUGUUGGGUGUGGUACUUCUAUUGAUAUUUUCAAAUAACUGCUGCACGCAUUUCCAAAAACAUAGUAUCCCACUUGCUACCAUUCAAACAUCCACAACUACAAAUAUUCAAAUGCUUUUGGCAUCUCAAAAUUCUAAAGUCCGGCAGACACCACCAUUCUGACAUUCCACCCCGUUGGGAUGUUUUAAAAUGUAUGGCUGAAUUUCGAGGAAUGAGAAUGUUCAGAAUGUUGGGACGUGAAAAAACCCCUCCACCCGUGUACUCAACAAAAUUUUUGCUGAAGCUGAAGCCAUCAAUCAGGGACUGGGAAUGAAUUCAGGAACUCCAAGGCCACUUGCCUCCAUGAAAGUAAAAUACAUUUAUGGGUGCGCAAAUAUUAUCCAGCUAAGCAUCCAUUUUCUUUGCAGCUUAUCAUCCCAUUCAGGGUCACGGGAAGCUAGAGCCCAUCCCAGCUGACACCCGGGACCUGUCAAUCACAGACAAGACUAACUCAUUGACGAAACCAUCUGUUCCAUGACACUGUUGACUUUUCUGUAGGAAAAAAUGGAAAGUCAAUUCAUUUGUUCCAUGGUAAAAGUUGUAUUGGGAUGUUGCAUUGCCAGAAGGAAUGGAAAUCAUGGGACAUCAGGAUGUUUGAAUGUUAGCAUAUGGCAAUGCUGUGAUAUUGGGAAGUUGGAAGGUUUAACUCAUUGACUGGCAGCCGAGUCCCGCAUAUUGCCAGCUGUUUUAGAACAUUUUGACUGAUCUUUGUCACGGCAAUUAUGAGGGAGAGAAAUGCCAACAAGUUAGUCGGACAAGUCUGGGCAUCUUGCACUCGAACAGAGUAUGUACAAUGUAUGAUAUAAACAGAGUAGGCUAUGUGUCGCAGUAGGUAGUAUAAAGUGUCUUGCUCAUGAGAAAAGAUUACACAGCUCAUGGAGUGAAUAGUGGACGCUAUGUAAAAAAGCAAACAAAUAUUAGUGACAAAUAAGUGGCAUGUUUCUUGUCACAAAAGCUUGUUUUCUCUGCUUUCCAGGUCAGAAACCAGUGUUUUUGGUGAAACCAACCCAUUCUUCUUCUACUGCUGAUUAUUAAAGUACGAAAAAAGCUAGAAACAAACUUUUAUGGUGACAUACCGACAUCUAAACCUUUCCGACACGUUGGGCAUUUCACUGCUAAAGUUGAUGCCAUCAAUCAGGUUUCGUAUGUACUGUAUAUAUAUAUAUAUAAUGAAAAACAAAUCUAAGUGAAAAGUAAGUGCGCGACUGGGCAGCAGAGUCUCAACUGAGAACCGAUAACACCUGCAGUGCGACAGGAAGCUAUUUUCCCAGCAAAAAGAAAAGGUCCUUUUGACCAGGUCAGCGUCGCCAUGGGGGCUCUAGCGGAAGAGACCAGAAGAUGAAGGGAUGGCGCAUGAGAUACAUAUAUAUGGCCUGAUUAAAAAAAAAAUCGGCAGCGGAAUGACGGACAGCGGCGUGUCGCCUGAAAUGGAAGCAGCGACUUCAUAUUCCCUAACUGACCCUGCUUAGGAUCCAUGCGAGCACUCACAAAGACAGACUAAUUGCCGCCACUGAUUGGCUCCUGCUAGAAUUCCAGCUGCCACCGAAGGUCAACUCUUGCACCUUCAUCUCACAUCUUGUCAUCUUUCCACAGGCUCACAUUUCCCAGAUAACAGACACCCUCACCACAUGGGUGUGUGUGGCUUCUUGGAUCAAUACUACAUCUUCCAAGUAAAUUGGUGGUACCUUAUAUCUUUUUAGAUUAACUUUCAGAUGUAGUGACAUUUGGGAUAUUUGAAUUUGGGGGUGUUGGAAUUUUGGGAAAUCAAAUGCAAGUAUGGUUUAUGUGCACUAGGUUUCAGGACCUACUUCCGAUCUCGCCAGUCAUUGGCAAAUUAGUUUCUGGUUGAUUUCCUGCUCCAAUCAUAACAACAGGAAAAUGAAAGGACAGAAAAACUUAAGUCCGUUCAUUUUCCCUAUGUUGUGAAUGGAGACACCAUACACCAUACCUCUCCAUUUUCUUUUUCCAAAUAUGUAACGGUUAAUCAUGUCGGAGGCCUUUUUCAUGUCAACGAAAAUACCCACUGCAUAUUUUCUUUUAUCAAUGCAUCAUGUUAUCUCUUCCACUAGGUCUAUUAGAGCCUUUGGAGUAGAUCUAGAUCAGAUCAGACAUGUCAAGCUCCCGGCCCGUGGGCCACUUCCGGCCCAUGUAGGGCAGGAUCAAUUUGAAAUCAGCAUGACAUUGGCUUCCCAGAAGAGUUGGAGCUAUUAUAGCUGCAAAAGGUGGACCGACAUCAUACUGAACCCUAUGGACUAGGAAUGGGAAGUUCAUAUGUGAGUUAAGGCAGGAAGAGGACAUCCUCCGCUGCCUCCAGAAGAAGAAAAAGAUAAAGAAAAAGAAGAGCUGAUAACCUACUGAUCCCUCGUCACUUCUCAACAAGGUCACCUAAUCCUCCAGGUGAAAGUUGGCGCAGAAAUACAACGUGCAGAGGAUUAACGUCUUAGAGGCUGAACAAGAAGAAGAAGAAUGGCGACGAUGGCGGUCUGGACUGACAGAAUUUACUGUGACGGACGCGGACAUAUUGUUUGGACAACAACACUGUUUUAUUGCCACAUGUGACGUUAGUGUUUGUCUAUUUUUAGACCAGAACGCUAUUGAUUUUCAGUGACAUCACAUACUGUACAAGAGGCCGGAGGAAACUGAGGUCUUAUCAAUACAGAAUACCAAUUGGAAGCACAUGUUACAACAAUGUAUUUUUGGGUAUCAUUAGCUGCUUAUGUAUAUCUUGCUGUAUUUUAUCUGUAUGAUUUGUUGCUUAGAGGUAUCAUCACACAAGACAUAUCUAAUUUAUAUUAAUUAAUACAUGAAUAAUAUUUAACUUAAAAUAAGUAAUAAAUACAUAAUUUAUGUUAACUUUUUAAAUAAAAGACAUAUCCUUUAUUAAUUAUUAACUAAGACAAAUAUAACAUUUUAAAUUGUUUAUAUCUUAUCUCUCAGAGAGGACUCACCGUGUAAUGCAUGGUAAUGUGACAUCUGAGGAUGGUAGCAGAGUCCCGCAGAGAUCUGGACUCGGCCCUCUUUUGUUCAGUAUUUAUAUGUUGCCACUUGACGAUAUUAUUUGCAAAUAUAAGAUUAGUUUUCACUGUUAUACCAACCGUACCCAACUAUAAAUGCCACUAAAACAAACUAAACCACAUGAUUGCUGGAAUCUGGAGACAUAUCUCAUUAAGAUUAAACCAUGGAUUUCCUUCUGAGCAGUUGAUAAUUGGCCUUGCCAGUCACAGGCACUUGUUUAAGUACACCUCUCUGAGUUUUGAUAAAAGUGCCAUUACUCAAAGUGACUCACGCAAAAAAAAUAAAAAAUCUCAGUGUUAUAGUUCACUCAACUCUUACCUUUAAAACGCACAUUAUGAAUAUUACCAAAACAGUUUUUUCAUCUUCGCAAUAUUGCUAAAAUACAGCUCAACCUAACCCUAGUGAUGCAGAGAACAUAGUCCAUGCAUUUAUUAUGCUUCACCUCAACUGCUGUAACGUACUGCUCUCUGGUCUUCCCAUGUCGAGUAUUGCAAUUAGUACAAAACGCUGCAGCAAGACUUUUGACAAGGACAAUAAGGUUUGAUCAUAUUACUCUGAUACUGGUCAACUUGCAUUGGCGUUCCAUUCACGAUAUGCGAUUUUAAGGUUUUGUUAUUUACUAAUAAAAUAUUAUAUGGCACCCUCCUAUCUUGCUGACUUUGUGGUACAGUAUGUUACAUCCCGAAACCUACAUUCACAACAUGCUGGUCUUUUGGUGACUCCAAGAGCCAGAAAGAAGUCAGCAGUCUCGAGAGCAUUUUCUAUUCAGGCUCCGGUACUCUUGAAUGCACUACCCAUGGAUAUUAGAGCUGCUACCUCACUAGAAAUGUGUGAAUCUCGAUUUAAGACUCAUUUUUACACUUUGGCAUUUAGUUAAAACACACACAGGCCUGUUGUACUGCCUCUUCCUCUGCCUCUAUACCUGAAAGGUAUUAUUGGACAAGAAUUGCAUUUCAAUUACAGUAUUUUGUUAAAUACAUUAACAAUAUUUAAAUGAA